GGAUGAAGAACGCAGCGAAAUGCGAUAAGUAAUGCGAAUUGCAGAAUUUCCGUGAGUCAUCGAAUCUUUGAACGCACAAUGCGCCCACUGGUAUUCCGGUGGGCAUGCCUGUUCGAGCGUCAUUAUCCUCCCUCAAACCCUCGUGUUUGGUGUUGGGCCGCGUUGGUGCAAGCCAACUGGUCUCAAAGACAAUGACGGCGUCCGUGGGACCCUCUUCGCAACGAGCAUCUUCGGAAGCACGCGUCGAGUCUAAAGGACCUUCCGGGCCGGUCUACCCUUUAUCUUUCUAAGGUUGACCUCGGAUCAGGUAGGAAUACCCGCUGAACUUAAGCAUAUCAAUAAGCGGAGGA
rnacentral:misc_RNA from 1 species